GACGAACGCUGGCGGCGUGCUUAACACAUGCAAGUCGAACGGAAAGGCCCUGCUUUUGUGGGGUGCUCGAGUGGCGAACGGGUGAGUAACACGUGAGUAACCUGCCCUUGACUUUGGGAUAACUUCAGGAAACUGGGGCUAAUACCGGAUAGGAGCUCCUGCUGCAUGGUGGGGGUUGGAAAGUUUCGGCGGUUGGGGAUGGACUCGCGGCUUAUCAGCUUGUUGGUGGGGUAGUGGCUUACCAAGGCUUUGACGGGUAGCCGGCCUGAGAGGGUGACCGGCCACAUUGGGACUGAGAUACGGCCCAGACUCCUACGGGAGGCAGCAGUGGGGAAUAUUGCACAAUGGGCGGAGGCCUGAUGCAGCAACGCCGCGUGCGGGAUGACGGCCUUCGGGUUGUAACCCGCUUUCGCCUGUGACGAGGCGUGAGUGACGGUACUGGGUAAAGAAGCCCCGGCUAACUACGUG
rnacentral:rRNA from 1 species